ACGCUCGACACCUACGGAGGCAGCAGUUGGGAAUAUUGGACAAUGGAGGAAACUCUGAUCCAGUGACGCCGCGUGAAGGAAGAAGGUCUUCGGAUUGUAAACUUAUUUUGUCAGGGAAGAAAAAUGACUGUACCUGAAGAAAAAGCAGCGGCUAACUACGUGGCAGCAGCCGCGGUAAUCUGAGCGGGCUGGCAAGGC
rnacentral:rRNA from 1 species